CACCGGCUUGGUCUGCGGUGCGUUGGUAUAUUCCAUCAAUUAUAACGAGAAACACAGUGGCAAUUCGUACAUUUACUUAGCGGGAAUAUCAUCAUCAGCGGCAAGAUCAACAGUAGCAUCAUCAACGACAUCCGUAGCAUUUACAUACAUAGGUAAAUCAUCAGCUACGACUCACGAUUCGUCAAAAAAACACGUUUUCCUUCAGGACGUUCGCGUCCAUUUGAAAUAGCCGUCUAAAAGACAGGUAGUCAGCUAUGCUCUGCCCCUACCUCGGGUGUCUGCUCAAGACUGAUUUUCAAUUCAAAAUCAGGCAUCUACAACGACGCACGGUUCGCCCUGGACAGACAUGGAAACAUUAACGAUGUUCAAAAUCAUCAAAGAACAUUUCGAGCGGGUGUUGGGGGAAGCAGGGGCCGUACAGAUAUUGCGUGCGACUGUUGUGUGAGUCGUGGCUGAGAAAUCGAGAUCUUGUGAGUCACAAGGUAUCGCCGGACGAGGUUUCACACGUCGUAAGCUUUUGCGACCAAUAUUACACUGGUCAACACACUUUUUCUAGCGUAAGGUAUUCCAACGGUUUUAAGGUAAUUUUGGGGUGCUGAUUCCAAAUCUGGCAUCUGUUUUUGUCUAUCAUAUCAGGUUUUUGAGAUAUCAAAUAUUGCAUUUUCAAUAAAAACUGCAGAAGAAAAAUAUUAAAUAAAUGUGGAUAUCUACAUAAAAUCAUAUUAUAAACACACUAUCCUAAAAAUACAGCACCAUAUUUUAACACUAAAGCAGUCACUGACUCGCAACAACUUGCAAUCAUAAGUGACAGAGUUUAUUUCGGGUAAAAUCAAUGAAAAUGGGGUAUGCCGAUAGCAUAAAAGUGACAUGUGAUAGAGCAAAUCUGAGAUCAGAUUUGGAAUCAGCACCCUGAAAAUAGUCUAGAACAGCUGCAAAAGUCCAGGCCAGAAAAAAAUGUUUUUUUUUGUUGACCAGUGUAAUCCAUGAUAUUAAUAGAGGUUUUUGAAUAUAAAUGUGUCGUUAAGCACGCCACCACCCGACACUGCCAAUUAGUAAGGGUUGUCACGUCAACAAAACUUUUCAAUUCGGUACUAGUA